rnacentral:rRNA from 1 species
GGAUGAACGCUGGCGGCGUGCUUAAUACAUGCAAGUCGAACGGAGAACCUUUGUAGCAAUACGAGGGUUUCUUAGUGGCGAACGGGUGCGUAACGCGUUGGUGACCUGCCCCGAAGUGUGGGAUAACAGUCCGAAAGGACUGCUAAUACCUCAUGUGGUCAUCGGGAUUAGAAUCUGAUGACUAAAGCAGUAAUGCGCUUCGGGAGGGGCCUGCGUCCCAUCAGCUAGUUGGUAGGGUAAUGGCCUACCAAGGCUUCGACGGGUAGGGGACCUGAGAGGGUGGUCCCCCACACUGGCACUGAAACACGGGCCAGACACCUACGGGUGGCAGCAGUAGGGAAUAUUGGGCAAUGGGCGAAAGCCUGACCCAGCAACGCCGCGUGCAUGAUGAAGGUCUUCGGAUCGUAAAAUGCUUUUCUGAGAGAUGAGAAAGGACAGUAUCUCAGGAAUAAGUCUCGGCUAACUACGUGCCAGCAGCCGCGGUAACACGUAGGAGGCAAGCGUUAUCCGGAUUUACUGGGCGUAAAGCGCGUGCAGGCGGUUCGGUAAGUUGGAUGUGAAAGCUCCUGGCUCAACUGGGAGAGGUCGUUCAAUACUACCGGACUUGAGAGCAGUAGAGGGAGGUGGAAUUCCCGGUGUAGUGGUGAAAUGCGUAGAUAUCGGGAGGAACACCAGUGGCGAAAGCGGCCUCCUGGACUGUUUCUGACGCUCAGACGCGAAAGCUAGGGGAGCGAACGGGAUUAGAGACCCCGGUAGUCCUAGCUGUAAACGAUGUGAACUUGGCGUCGGCGGGUUCAAAGCCGUCGGUGCCGAAGCUAACGCGAUAAGUUCACCGCCUGGGGACUACGGCCGCAAGGUUAAAACUCAAAGGAAUUGACGG